rnacentral:rRNA from 1 species
CCGUGCGAAGGUAGCGCAAUCACUUGUCUUUUAAAUGGGGACCUGUAUGAAUGGCAUAACGAGGGCUUAACUGUCUCCUCUUUCAAGUCAAUGAAAUUGAUCUCCCCGUGCAGAAGCGAGGAUAGAUACAUAAGACGAGAAGACCCUAUGGAGCUUUACACACUAAAGCAGAUCAGUAUUAAUACCCUGAACAUAGACUACGAAUCAACUGACCCCUGCCCUAAUGUCUUUGGUUGGGGCGACCGCGGAGAAAAAUUAAACCCCCGCAAGGACUACAUGUACUACAUUCACAAACAAGAGCGACAGCUCUUACUAUCAGAACUUCUGACCAAUAAGAUCCGGCAAUGCCGAUCAAUGAACCGAGUUACCCUAGGAUAACAGCGCAAUCUCCUCUUAGAGCCCAUAUCGACAAGGAGGUUUAACGACCUCGAUGUUGGAUCAGACAUCCUAAAUGGUGCAGCCGCUUAUUCAGGGUUCGUUUGUUCAACGAUUAAAGUCCUACGUG